CAUUAGCUAGUUGGUGGGGUAAUGGCUCACCAAGGCGACGAUGCGUAGCCGACCUGAGAGGGUGAUCGGCCACACUGGGACUGAGACACGGCCCAGACUCCUACGGGAGGCAGCAGUAGGGAAUCUUCCGCAAUGGACGAAAGUCUGACGGAGCAACGCCGCGUGAGUGAUGAAGGUUUUCGGAUCGUAAAGCUCUGUUGUUAGGGAAGAACAAGUGCGAGAGUAACUGCUCGCACCUUGACGGUACCUAACCAGAAAGCCACGGCUAACUACGUGCCAGCAGCCGCGGUAAUACGUAGGUGGCAAGCGUUGUCCCGAAUUAUUGGGCGUAAAGGGCUCGCAGGCGGUUUCUUAAGUCUGAUGUGAAAGCCCCCGGCUCAACCGGGGAGGGUCAUUGGAAACUGGGAAACUUGAGUGCAGAAGAGGAGAGUGGAAUUCCACGUGUAGCGGUGAAAUGCGUAGAGAUGUGGAGGAACACCAGUGGCGAAGGCGACUCUCUGGUCUGUAACUGACGCUGAGGAGCGAAAGCGUGGGGAGCGAACAGGAUUAGAUACCCUGGUAGUCCACGCCGUAAACGAUGAGUGCUAAGUGUUAGGGGGUUUCCGCCCCUUAGUGCUGCAGCUAACGCAUUAAGCACUCCGCCUGGGGAGUACGGUCGCAAGACUGAAACUCAAAGGAAUUGACGGGGGCCCGCACAAGCGGUGGAGCAUGUGGUUUAAUUCGAAGCAACGCGAAGAACCUUACCAGGUCUUGACAUCCUCUGACAACCCUAGAGAUAGGGCUUUCCCUUCGGGGACAGAGUGACAGGUGGUGCAUGGUUGUCGUCAGCUCGUGUCGUGAGAUGUUGGGUUAAGUCCCGCAACGAGCGCAACCCUUGAUCUUAGUUGCCAGCAUUCAGUUGGGCACUCUAAGGUGACUGCCGGUGACAAACCGGAGGAAGGUGGGGAUGACGUCAAAUCAUCAUGCCCCUUAUGACCUGGGCUACACACGUG
rnacentral:rRNA from 1 species